rnacentral:tRNA from 1 species
GGGCGGCUAGCUCAGUUGGUUAGAGCGUUGCUUUCACACGGCAGAGGUCACAGGUUCGAAUCUUGUGCCGCCCA